AACCGCGCGAAGGUAGCAUAAUCACUUGUUCUUUAAAUAGGGACUAGUAUCAACGGCACCACGAGGGUUAUACUGUCUCCUAUUUCAAAUCAGUGAAACUAAUCUCCCCGUGAAGAAGCGGGGAUAUACUUAUAAGACGAGAAGACCCCAUGGAGCUUCAAACCCCGCUACACCCCGAUCUCUAUAACCCACUUAACCCACACGGACCCCUGUACAGCUGGUUUUCGGUUGGGGCGACCACGGAGUACAACAAAACCUCCACAAUGAACGGGACUAAUCCCUCACCUAAGGCCCACACCCCUAAGAAUUAGAAUACUAACAUAAAGUGAUCCAUUAUUUGAUCAAUGAACCAAGUUACCCUGGGGAUAACAGCGCAAUC
rnacentral:rRNA from 1 species